CAAAAUUGAGAGGAUGGUACAGACACCUACUAUAUACCCCUUGAUCUUACACAUCUAUGGCCUCCAGAAUUAUUAGUGUAACCAGAGUGGCUUCUUUCACUUAAUAAAUCUGAGAAGUGAUAGGACUCCCCCAGGAGCCCAAGGUGACAGAGAGCCUGAGCUUGGAUUCACAAUGCUUUUUGUUAAUCAGACCCUGAAUAUCAGCCUCCAUCACAGCCAGCUAUCAGGAAUCCCUGGAGUGUCUUGGUACCUUUGCUCCUGGU